AGCGAAAUGCGAUACUUGGUGUGAAUUGCAGAAUCCCGUGAACCAUCGAGUCUUUGAACGCAAGUUGCGCCCGAAGCCAUCAGGCUAAGGGCACGCCUGCCUGGGUGUCACCAAUCGUCGCCCCAAUCCCGGCGCCUCCGGGCACCGGGCGGGGCGGAUGCUGGCCUCCCGCGAGCGAGCGCCUCUCGGUUGGCCGAAAAUCGGGUUCGUGGCGGAGGGCAGCGCCACGACAGGUGGCGGUUGAGCGCAAUCUCGAGGCCGGCCGUGCGCGCGCCCCCUCCGUCGUUGCGGACCCUAAGACCCGCGGGCGGCACCGAUCUGCCGCCCAUGAUGCGACCUCAGGUCAGGCGG
rnacentral:rRNA from 1 species